CCCCCUCCGAGGGGGCUGGUACCUCGAAAAUUUUUUUUUCAUUUUUCAACUGGAAUUUGACUUUUAUUCUUAAAAAUGAAGUUUUUUCCGGUCCUCUCCCCUCCCCUCCCCCCUCCGAGGGGGCUGGUACCUCGAAAAUUUUUUUUUCAUUUUUCAACUGGAAUUUGACUUUUAUUCUUAAAAAUGAAUUUUUUUCCGUUCCUCUCCUCUCCCCUCCCCUCACCCCUCCGAGGGGGCUGGUGCCUCGAAAAAUUUUUUUUGCAUUAUUCGACUCGUAUUCGAUAUUUCUUUGCAAAAAUAGACCUUUCCUCGUCCCCCCCACCCCCGCUCCCCCCUCCGAGGGGGCUGGUACCUCGAAAUUUUUUUUUUCAUUUUUCAACUGGAAUUUGAGUUUUAUUCUUGAAAAUGAAUUUUUUUCCGUUCCUCUCCCCUCCCCUCACCCCUCCGAGGGGGCUGGUACCUCGAAAAAUUUUUUUUUCAAUAUUCAACUGGAAUUUGAGUUUUAUUUGCAAAAAUGGAUUUUUCCCAUUCCUCUCCCCUCCCUUCACCAUCCGAUGGGGGCUGGUACCUCGAAAAAAAUUUUUAUUGAAAAACUGGAAAAUUGAAAAAAAAAGUCUUGAAAAUAAAUGAUUGAAAAAAUGUAUCAAAAUUGAAGAAUUGAAUAAAAAUUUUCGAAAUUGAAAAAAAAUAUAAUUUUCAUUGAAAAAAUGGAAAAUUGAAAAAAAAAGUCUUGAAAAUAAAUGAUUGAAAAAAUGUAUCAAAUUUGAAGAAUUGAAUAAAAAUUUUCGAAAUUGAAAAAUUAAAAAAAAAAAAGUCUGAUCCAAACUAAAAAAAAAAAAAAAAAAAAAAAAUGUUCCCAGUUGAGAAACAUUUGAAAAUUUGAAAAAUUGAAAAAUUGAUGAGAAAAAUUGUGCAAUUUUACAUAUCAAAUUUUCUACAACCCUCAGAAAUGCCCAAAAUUCCAACAAAUUUUCCAAAUUCUCGAAAAUAUUCUCAAGUGCGUCUGCGAGGUAGGUAAUUUAUUGUUUCGGCGACAGAAUCCAUCACAUGUCACCAAGUGGGUUUUUGACCUUUUUUUAGGACUACUUGGUUUGUUUGAAAAAAAAAAAAAAAAUUUAAAAAAAAAGUCACCUACGAAGUCUCCGUGAAUCAUGGGUAUUUCGUCCGUCGAAAAUGUCAUCUCUUGUUGAAAAUCACCUACAAAGUCUCCGUGAAUCAUGGGCACUUCGUUGGUUGAAAAUUUCAUCUCUUGUUGAAAAUCGCCUACAAAGUCUCCGUGAAUCAUGGGCACUUCCUCCGUCGAAAAUUAGUUUUCAACAUUCUCAUGUUUGAAAAUUUUUAUAAUUGAAAAUGUUUCAUAUUUUCAUCGAGAUUUUACAAAAUUCUUCAAAUUAAUAUAUUUUGUAAAUUUGCCGCAAUAAAAAAAAUCGCCAAAAUUUCAAAACCGAAUUUUUCAAUUAUUCAUUGUGUUGAAUUGGGUGUUUUAAAAUAUCUAUUUCCCUUUUCAAACUUCCGCGAAAAUAUCGAAAAUGUAGAAAAAAAAGCAUAAAAUGAAACUUUAGUGGUAAUAGUAAAUUUUUAAUAGGGACAGCGGGAAUCUCGCUGAUCCGUUCAAGCGCGUCACCAAUUGAAUGAGGAGGCAUUAGGCUACCCUAAAAGAGUCAUAGUUACCACUGCCGUGUACCCGCGCUUGCUUGAAUUUCUUCUUCUUCACAUUCAGAGCACUCGGCAGAAAGCACAUUGAAAAUUGUCCAAAAUCAACUAAAUAAAAAUGUUUUCAAUAAAUUUGCAAAAAUGUUGAUUCUUGAAAAAAAAAAAUAAAAAAAAAAAAAAAUAAUUAAAAAAAAAAAAAAAAAAAAAAAAACA